UCGAGUGAUGCCACGUGUCACAAUCGGACGCAUCCAUUUCGCGGAUAAAUAACACCGCCCAUGUGUUGGCCGUCGUCGCCUCCCCAAAGCUUCAUCCGCCGCCGGCGCUGCCGGUGAAGGCUACAUAUUUGGCAGUCGCCGCCGCCUCUGGUUCGCUUGGUGCAGGUCGGGAACGCCGCGAUCCGCCGGCGGACGAGCCGCUUCCCGCCUUGCACCAACUGAAUCGGAGGCGGAAGCGACGAUCCCCGUGUUUUUGCGGAUCCCGCUUGCUGGAUCUCGACGCUUGGUGUUCGUUUCGAACCUUGUCUUUCGUGUUGGGAGGUUUUUCUCCCUCCGUUCUGCUGAUUGAUGCCUUGUUUUAGGUCACGACGUUUUUCUGCGCUCUAUCCGAGCAGUUUCCCCCUAUUACAGCGGAAAGCUUUGACCUUUAGAAUAGAUUCUUUCGAUUUAAUUGAGCUCGGUUGCCUUUGGGGUUUGUUCUUUCGAUUAAAUUUGAUUGAAGUCUCCUUGAGGUUCUUUUGUGUCUGGCGUUGCAUUUCUCCGCAAUCGAUUCAUCAAUUGGAAUCUCUGCCAUGAUUUAUUGGCUGAUGAGUUUUGAACAUCGGUUACAUUGUCAUUUCCUCUUUUUUUUCUCUCUUGAUUUUUGAGUAACAAUUAGGUAGAUCUGUGUUUCGUAUUUCCAUACUGAUUUGGUGUGUCUGGUAACUCUGGUUGUGAUGGAAAUUGCAAGAUUGCUUCUUUCUUGAUCCAUUGAACAGACAGAUGUGGUGUUCAAGAUAAGUGAAGAAAUUGGCAGGUGUAUUAGUUGAUUUCUGGUUUGGUUCUGCCCUUACUAUUUCUCUUUGUUUUUAGAAAGCUAGGAGCUGGUUUUGCUGCCAAAUAUCUUUCUCCAACGUAUCAUUCUUCCCAGUAAUAAGGCCCAGAUUGACAAGGAAUUCUAGUAUCAUUGAAGAAUAUGUACUUUUGUUACAAGAAAUUCUUGCAAAUUUCCUCUUUAAGUUGUUAUUUUGAAUGUCAAGUCUGUGGAUCACUCUCUAGUUCCUUUCUGUUGUGUUACCUUUCCAAUUGUUGUAGAUUGACAUUACUUAUUUUUGGAAUUCCUCUUUGACUUCAUGAGAUUGUGAUUUGAUUUGUAAAUUUAUGGUCACAUGUCUAGUUUUUAAUUUAUGUAGAGUGGAGCAUCUCAUGCAACUUUCUUGUUCAUGUAAAGUUUGGUUACCUUGAUGUUAACUAGAAAUUUCUUCUUAUGGUCAUUUAUUAAUUAGAACUUCAUGGUCCAAUGAAAAUAACCAAUCUCCAUAUAUUUUUUAUGGCCAUCUUACAUGUGUUUAAUGGUUUACUAUAUCAUGACUGCCUGUGUAACUAAUUGCCAUUGAAGAUGACAGAACCCAAGGCCUUCAUGCAAAGUGAACAAUCUAGUUUGAGUUUUAUAUUUCUACAUAAAAUCUAGUCAUGUUUUUCUCUAUCAAGGGACUUGAGAGAAGUAGGGGAUGCUAUGGAUCAACAUGGCUCGUGGCUAAGACGAAGGAUUUAAAUAGAAGGCUUGUACCAAUGUUGACACUUAAUAGGAGUAUUAGAUAGAGGGCUCCUUUUACCUUUCCUCAGGUAACUAGGUAGUUGGUGAAAUCUUGUUUAUAUACAUGCAUGUAAUGGAGCUAAUCUGGAAUUUAGUGUAUCAGAACCUUGUUAGAUAUGGCUUCUUUCCUUGUUUUGCUCAAGUGACAUGUUGUGUAUGAUAGUUUCAUGGUUCUAGUUGUCACAAAAACACCUUCCUUGGAAGAAAAGAAGAUUUUUUUUUUUUAUUACUAGGGCUCUUUCAUAAUUUAAUUUUUUGUGGGAUGAUUUAAUAAACUACAGGACCAAGAAUGGAAAUUGGAUCAGUUCACAUUCUCAUUUACCAUCCUCUGAUAAUAAAUCAAGGCUACGAGUGGCUAUUCGAGGUCACACAUUCUGUAUGUUCCUUCUCUUGCUUUUCGCCACCCUAAAGGAUGUUAUUUUCAAAUAAUUUAUCAGAUGCAUUACACUGUGUGAGUGGUUUUUAUAAAAAAUGUCUUCCUAAAUGCAAAUUGCCUUCCUAGCUCAAAAUUCUUUGGGUAACUCAAUUUCUCCUUUCAAGUUCAGUGAUCUUAUCUAGAUGAGAACUAAGUGAAGAUACUACAAAUGGUAGUUCACUGGAAUUGUGCUUAGUCUAGAUUUGUGUUGGUUUUUCAUCUAUUACUCUUAAAACAUUGUUGUAGAAUUGUGCUCUUGACAUGGUUAUUGGAACUUGUCAUGGAGUUGAUUUUUUAUAGUCAGAUGGAUUGGUUCAUCAAGAUAAAUGCAGUAGUUUGUCUAAGCCAGCUUUGAUUGAUGUCAUUUUGCAGUUGGGAAGAGUGGAAAAUGUCAACAUGUUUGAUGACCUUGGUAUUACUUGAGUGCAUCAGGCUUCAUCUAAAGAUAAUAGAUCGCCAUGAAGGACGAAUAAAUCUGACGGUUCGAAUCCGCGAGCUGUGAGAAGAGGAUGGAUGUGGCUUUGGUAUAAAUAUUAAUCCUCAUGUAAAACUUUGGUUGGAAUAUUCUUUACAAUCUCAUGUGACAAACUAAUUUGGUCUGGGACUUUGGUGUGAUAUUAAUAAUCUUCAUAUAUAAUUUUGGUUAGAAUGAUCUUUACAAUCUCA